CUCCCUCGCUUCUGCGGGACCGCCCUGAUUGGCUGGCACUCCGCCAGCGGGCUGUCCAUCACCAAGUGUAAACAAGGCGCUGAUUGGCUGUUAUCCAGUCCGCACAGGGCCUCCUGAAAAAAGCAAUUACUGGCUUCGCGGUUUCAAGGCUGCCCAAGGCCGCUUGAUGAAAGGAGAUAAACCGAGGACCGUUUCCAGGAUCCCCGCGGGCCGACCCAGGCGGCUCCCGAGCCGAGACAUGGAAGACACUGAAAGAACUUGUGCAGAUGUGUCACCUGGCAGAGUCACAGGGUGUAGAGAAACUGUCUUCUGUGAACACGUGGAGGACAAUGGGAUCCAGAGACGAAGAGCAACUUGUUCCAAGUCACACAGCCGGGUUUCACGAUGUAGGGCAGGCGAUAGUUUUAAAUUGACAGAGAUCCUCCCAUCUUUGCCUCUGCCUUUGGGAUGCUGAAGUUAAAGGCGUGUACCAGCAUACCUGCCCUGUUUAAUUUCUGAGGAAGGUUUUCGUGUACUCUAGACUGACCUCAAACUCACUGUGUAAUUGAGGAUGGCCUUGAACUUCUGAUCUUCCUGCUUCCUCCUCCCUCAUGCCAAGACUACAGGCCUGUGCCACACAUUCAUUGUUUUGUGGUAUUUGGGACUCAGGUAUAUGUAGGCAGCCACGCUGCCAUUUCACCAGCUCCUGUAAAUAAGUAAAACCCAUCUUCUUACUUUUUUUGUUUGUUUUGUUUUGUGAGACAGGGUUUGUCUGUAUAGCCCUGGCUGUUCUGGAAUUCACUCUGUAGACCAGGCUGAUCUUAAACUCACAGAGGUCCGCCCGCCUGUGCCUCCUGAACCCUGAGGUUAGGAGUGAGUGCCACCACCACCACCACCACCUUUUACAUUUUAUAUUUUAGGUCUCUCCACAUAGUUCAGGCUGACCUGGAACUCACCGUAUAGCCCAGGCUGGCAUAGAACUUGCUGUAAUCUUCCUGUCUCUGUCUCCCACGCGUUGAGAUUGCUGAUGUGAGCUACCAUACCCAGUUACUAGUAUUGUGUGACAUGUCCAGUGCUGUUGUCCUUGUGGCCAGGAUCUGGCCACACUUUUUCCAGUCUCUGGAGGAAGCUUUGGGGUUCUCAGCCUCUGAAAGAGGAAGGAGGAGGGCUGUGGACAGAGAAAUAGGGCCCAGAGGCCUGGCAAAGCAAACAUGUGAGCAAGAGGCAGCCCUGCUCUGCAUGGGGAAAACUGAAGGGAGAAAGAAAAGCCCCUGGAUAUGAGGCAGGGUGGGAGUGACCAGCUCCAGGCCAAGGAAAGUAAAGACCCAAAGCCUCAACACCAGAGACAGGGUGAAGGAAUCUCCCUCAGGGCAUCCAGGAAGACCCAACCCUCCCCACAAAUGGAUUGGGGCUUUUAACCUCCAGACCAGUACAGGUGAGCGGUGGGGGCUGAAGCAUGUAAGUACACUCUUAUCUGGUCACAUAAGCCCUUGUUUGUCUUGUGGAUUAUCUGGGGGUUCUCUGGACGGUGACGGUCACAGAGAGAGGCCAGUUAACAGCACUUGUCUCCUGUGAUAUGGAGUUGGUAAGUCCAGCAGUGUGGGCAACAGAUGGCGGUGUUUGUGUCCCAGAUCACCCAGACUGGAAGAAAGCCCCUCACACACACUUGUUCCAUUUGGUUCCUCCUUCAACUGAUUGGACGAGGCCCACCCCCACCAGGAAGGGCAGGCCUCUGUGCUCAGUCUACAUGCACCCUGUCAAAGGAUGACCUCAUUUGGACAUACCCUCAAGGACACACCCAGAGUCAAUGUCUGGGUGUCUCCCGACCCAGUCAAGUCAACACAGAAAAUGAGCCAUCGCCUGUUUAACUACAGCUAGGAGCAGGACACCAUCAGGCAUCAGAAUGUGUAGAAGAGGCCAAAUGGCAACAGGGUGCCGUUGUGCAGUCUCUCUCCCAGCUGUUUCCCAGUCUCACCAACGUCAGAGUUGUCUCUCUUGGCUUAGCUGUUCUAGGGAGUAUGAAGUAACAUCCUCGCGCUUAAGUCUCCCUUUCCCAAUUUCCCAAAUGAUUGGUAAGGGUGGCCAUUUGUUUACCUGCAGAUGAGCCUUUUUGAUGCCUUUGGGGUCUACAAAGCAACUGUUUGAUUUAAAAACUGGUUGGUUUGCUGUUUUCUUACUGGUUUGUAGGAGCUCUUGGUACAGUGCAGAUACAAAAUCUUGACCAAACAUCUCUCUGUCCACCUAUCAAGAGCCAAAGAAGUAGGGAGCGAUGUGUGGCUCACCUUCUCACUCUCCUAAAGGCACCUCCAAGUUCUUAGUGUUUUCCCUGCUCCAUGGUGGCAGGGAUCAAACCUAGGACCUUGUGCACUGUUAGGUGAGCAUUCUACUGCUCAGCAGGCUCUCAAUAUAUGUAUGUAUGUAUGUAUGUAUGUAAAUGACGCUGGAGCAGCGGUAGAGGACCUGGGUUCAUCUCCAGCACCUACAUGUCAGCCCACAACUGCCUGUAACUCCAGUUCCAGAGGACUUGACAUCCUCACGGAGGCAAAGCACAAA